AUGCACACCUUCCAUCUACAUCUUAGUAUCACUCUAUCACCUGCAAUAUUCCUACCACAUGAAAUCUACACUAUAAAGUGCAUCAUCUCCUCUUGUUCUCACCAAAUAGGUUAUUAGACCCAGAGGUCUAAGACUGACUUUGUCCACACUUUAUAAUUAUUUUUUAUCAUGUUUGUAUCUUUUUGUGUAUGCUAGAUCCAUGAGCCAAGGAACAAAGCCCCAUUCAUGGACCUCCAUUGCAGAUCUACUCAGAUGGAAUUCGUUGACCAUGUCUCAUUUCUUUGCCCUCUCUUUUAUGCUUUGCCGUAUCGUUUGUUCUAACCAUGGCCCAUAAACAUCUUCAAUGACCAUGAUUUCUUUGAUUAACUAUAUAAGACAAGAUUUUGCAAGAAAUUGAUGCUGUAUCCUACAGAUUGCUUGGCUAACUUCUUUUUGGCACUAUCAGAAUAUUCUAUAGAAAGGUUGAAUAUGUGCUUGAAGAUUGUAAUGAGGUUCUCGUCAAAAUCAACAAAUUUGUCGUCAACAAACAAGGCUUAGUAUGUGUGGAAACGUUGUGUAUGCCUGUUACUAAACCAGAAAGAUUUGAGUUGGAUGCUUUUGAGUUAGAUGAACCUGAAGAUGCUGGCAGGUAUGCUUUUAUUAGGUUAGACUUUAGAAGCUUAAUGAUUAUGUAAUUUUCUUCAUACUGCUUCUCUGGAAGAAAUUAUGCUUAGAGACAAAGAUAUUAGAAUUGUUUCACUAUUUUACUUUUAUAGUAAAUGUAAUCUUAUUCUAUUGUUUGAGUAAUACACUAUUUUACUUUUAUAGUAAAUGUAAUCUUAUUCUAUGCAAAAGACAUAGUUCGUUUCCCUUUCCAACAGAAUGCCACCAUACUUUACUUAUUGCACACUGUGUACAGAGGCAGAGAGAAUCUCCCAUUACUUACUGUGCACUAUGUUGCCUUGAAAUUGUGGAAACUCCAAGGAUGUUAGAUGUACCUGAAUCUCAGGAUUUUGACAUUCCAAUUUUUAUUGAGAUAAAAUCCUUUUGGAAUCUCCCGAAACAAAUGAAGUGCCUCAUUUGAUGGAUGAGGUAAAGAAUAACUAAAUGAUGAAAAUACUCUUUGACAUUCUAACAGGCACACUAUGAGUGGUUUGCAAUACAUUCAUAAUUGUCUCCACGCAAACUCGCAUAAAGAAAAACCAUAUUGUUGUUUGAUCUAGGAACUUUGAAUUGGUAUGAAACUUUAGAUUCUAAGAUAGAGGAAACUUAUCCUAGUA